UACGGAGGUGGCAAGCGUUGCUCGGAAUCACUGGGCGUAAAGGGCGCGUAGGCGGGGAGGUAAGUCGGGUGUGAAAUCCCUCGGCCCAACUGAGGAACUGCGCCCGAGACUGCUUCUCUUGAGUCCCGGAGAGGAAGAUGGAAUUCCCGGUGUAGCGGUGAAAUGUGUAGAGAUCGGGAGGAACACCAGAGGCGAAAGCGGCGACCUGGACAGAUACUGACACUCAACUGCGAAAGCGUGGGGAGCAAACAGG
rnacentral:rRNA from 1 species